UUACGGCCACGUCACAGUAAAAACACCGGUUCACAUACAAUCAACAGUUAAGCAAUAUCGAGCGUGAUCAGUGCCUUGAUGGGUGACUGCUUGGGAAUACAAAGUGUUGUAAG